GAUGAACGCUGGCGGCGUGCCUAAUACAUGCAAGUCGAGCGAACAGAUAAGGAGCUUGCUCCUUUGACGUUAGCGGCGGACGGGUGAGUAACACGUGGGUAACCUACCUAUAAGACUGGAAUAACUCCGGGAAACCGGGGCUAAUGCCGGAUAACAUUUAGAACCGCAUGGUUCUAAAGUGAAGGAUGGUUUUGCUAUCACUUAUAGAUGGACCCGCGCCGUAUUAGCUAGUUGGUAAGGUAACGGCUUACCAAGGCAACGAUGCGUAGCCGACCUGAGAGGGGGGUCGGCCACACUGGAACUGAGACACGGUCCAGACUCCUACGGGAGGCAGCAGUAGGGAAUAUUCCGCAAUGGGCGGAAGCCUGACGGAGCAACGCCGCGUGAGUGAUGAAGGUCUUCGGAUCGUAAAACUCUGUUAUUAGGGAAGAACAAAUGUGUAAGUAACUGUGCACGUCUUGACGGUACCUAAUCAGAAAGCCACGGCUAACUACGUG
rnacentral:rRNA from 1 species